AAAGUCGUAACAAGGUUUCCGUAGGUGAACCUGCGGAAGGAUCAUUAACGAAUUGUAUGGUCUAGGUUGUCGCUGGCUCUCUCUGGGAGCAUGUGCACGCCUGGUCCAAACUCUUCAUUCCUUAACCUCCUGUGCACCUUUUGUGGACUGCAGAUGGAUAACUGUCGAGGUAACACUCGGUUUUGCAGAUUGCGCCUUACCCGCGCUUUCUGCUGCAUCUACCUGCAGUUCAUGUCUUUACUACAUACCAUUUAAUAAAACCUAGAAUGCUUAACAGUUGGGACUUUAGUGACCCUUCUUAAACUUUGUACAACUUUCAACAACGGAUCUCUUGGCUCUC
rnacentral:misc_RNA from 1 species